rnacentral:rRNA from 1 species
UACAGGGGGUGCAAACGUUGCUCGGAAUCAUUGGGCGUAAAGCGCACGUAGGCGGUUCGUUAUGUCGGAUGUGAAAGCCCUUGGCUUAACCGAGGAAGUGCAUCCGAAACUGGCGAGCUAGAGUACGGAAGAGGAUCGCGGAAUUCCCGGUGUAGAGGUGAAAUUCGUAGAUAUCUGGAGGAACACCGGUGGCGAAGGCGGCAUUCUGGACCGACAUUGACGCUGAGGAGCGAAAGCCAGGGGAGCAAACGGG